rnacentral:rRNA from 1 species
GAUGAACGCUGGCGGCGUGCCUAAUACAUGCAAGUCGAGCGAACAGACGAGGAGCUUGCUCCUCUGACGUUAGCGGCGGACGGGUGAGUAACAUGUGGAUACCCUACCUAUAAGUCUGGGAUAACUUCGGGAAACCGGCGCUAAUACCGGAUAACAUGUUGCUCCGUAUGGUUUAACAGUGAAAGACGGCCUUGCUGUCACUUAUAGAUGGAUCCGCGCCGCAUUAGCUAGUUGGUAAGGUAACGGCUUACCAAGGCAACGAUGCGUAGCCGACCGGAGAGGGUGAUCGGCCACACUGGAGCUGAGACACGGUCCAGACUACUACGGGAGGCAGCAGUAGGGAAUCUGACGCAAUGGGCGAGAGCAUGACAGAGCAACGCCGCGCGUGUGAAGAAGGUCUUCGGAGCGUAAUGCUCUGUUAUUGGUGAAGAACAGAUGUGUCAGUAACUAUGCAGGUCUUGACGGUACCUAAUCAGAAAGCAACGGCUAACUACGUG